rnacentral:rRNA from 1 species
UACAGAGGGGGCAAGCGUUGUUCGGAAUUACUGGGCGUAAAGGGCGCGUAGGCGGCCUUCUAAGUCGAACGUGAAAUCCCCGGGCUUAACCCGGGAACUGCGUCCGAUACUGGGAGGCUUGAAUUCGGGAGAGGGAUGCGGAAUUCCAGGUGUAGCGGUGAAAUGCGUAGAUAUCUGGAGGAACACCCGUGGCGAAGGCGGCUCUCUGGGACGGUACUGACGCUGAGACGCGAAAGCGUGGGGAGCGAACAGG